rnacentral:rRNA from 1 species
GACGAACGCUGGCGGCGUGCUUAACACAUGCAAGUCGAACGGAAAGGCCCUGCUUGCAGGGUACUCGAGUGGCGAACGGGUGAGUAACACGUGGGUGAUCUGCCCUGCACUUCGGGAUAAGCUUGGGAAACUGGGUCUAAUACCGGAUAGGAACCAUCUUUAGUGUGGUGGUUGGAAAGUUUUUUCGGUGUAGGAUGAGCUCGCCGCCUAUCAGCUUGUUGGUGGGGUAAUGGCCUACCAAGGCGGCGACGGGUAGCCGGCCUGAGAGGGUGUACGGCCACAUUGGGACUGAGAUACGGCCCAGACUCCUACGGGAGGCAGCAGUGGGGAACAUUGCACAAUGGGCGCAAGCCUGAUGCAGCGACGCCGCGUGGGGGAUGAAGGCCUUCGGGUUGUAAACUCCUUUCGCUAGGGACGAAGCUUUGUUGUGACGGUACCUAGAUAAGAAGCACCGGCUAACUACGUG